UUCUGGUUCUGUGUGUUCACUUGGCCUAAAAUAUUCUUCCUUAAGUUUCUACCUGUAUCCAAAUCUUUCACAUCUUCUCCAGGAAAUCUUCCCUGACUGAUGCCAACUGUUGUCAUCUCCUCACUAUCUCCUGUCACUUGCUUUAGAUGAAAUGUUAGCCAAGCAGGGUAUUUAAGAGCUUAAAUUCUGUGGUCACGUUCAACCCAAGUUUGAAUCCUGGCAUAGGGGCCUAGUAAAACAAAUCCAUUGAACAAAUUAAUUAUUGGGGGCCAGACACUAUUGUAGGUGCUGCAGUAUAGCAGUGAGCAAGACAGACAAGGAACCUAUUCUCCCUGAGCUCAUGUUGAGGCAUGGGAAGACAAUGAAAAAUAUUAUCUAGUGUGGUAGGUUCUGUAAAGGGAGUAAGCAAAGUCAUGUAAUACAGGUUAAUUAGGGGCUCCUAUCUGAGUGGGAACAGGGGUCAGGAAAAGCCUUCAUGAGGGGAUGAUAUUUGAGUUGAGACCUCAAGAUUGAGAAGGAGUCAGCCAUGCUAGAUGAGGGAAAAAAUGUAUUCCAGCCAGAGGGAAAAAGCAAGUACCAAUAUUCUGAGUAGGAAAUAACAUUUAAGAAGUAGAAAGAAGGCCAGUGGUGGGCGGGGGCUGGGGGGAAAAAGCAGUGCUUGAUAACAUUGUAGACUAUUAAAAGAGAAUUGGAUUUCAUGCUAAGAUUGUGAUAAAAACUGUUGACUUUAAUUGUCACACCAAUUUUUAGAAAGUUGAAUUGGAUCUAAAUAUUUUAAAGUUAUAAAAUAUCACAUAAAUUGCCACUAUAUAAUGUAUGUACAUAUAUGAGUUAUGCAUUAAGAACUCCUUAUAAAAAACAAUUGUGUUGACUUACAAUUUUCUUAUCCACUCCAGUUGAACACAAAUAUCCUGGGUCAUGACUGGAGUAAGAAGAGUGAAGAUUCCCUCGAUGCCACACCAUGUCACAGAGGCACCAAGAGAGUGAGCUUCUGCCUUUCCUACUUCCAUAUUCUCCUUUACACAAUGAUGUUGAUAAGAGGAGUAAGUGGGGAAACAUAGAUUUUUGAGCCUGAAGCACAGGGAAGAUGUCUAGACUUUUACUGAAAAUUUGAGCAUCAUCAACGUAUAGAUGUUUGUAAGUCAAGGCAAUGAGAUUACCUAAGGAGACAGUACACAUAGAAGAGCAAAGAGCCCCAGAGGAAGCCCUGGUCAGGCCAACAUUUAACAGUGAGUUUAGAUGGAGGAACAGGUGUGAUCAAAGACUAAUUAAGUUUAGUAAGUAACAGAAAAAUCAGAAGCCAAAAGAAAAAAAAAUAUUUAAAGGAGGAGUACACGAUAAACUGUGAGGAUGAGUAGCAUGAAAACUAAGACAUGUUUGCUGGGUUUGGCCACAUGAAAAGACUUGUAGACCUUGACGAGUACAAUUUUGAUGGAAAGGUAGAGAUAAGUCAUUGGAGUAGGUGAAGGAAUUAGUUAGAAACGAGGACGUGGAGACAGGAUAUAGUCAACCUGUGGGAGGGAUUUUGCAGUGAAGUUUGCUGUGAAGCAGCAUGGGGAAAUGGAGUGGUGGCUAUAAACAGAUAAAGGGUAUGUGGACUUUUAAAAGUUUAUAUUAAUGAUUAAAUAUGCAUCUUUGUUAAAAAUUUUGUAUCAGUUUUCUCAUCUGUAAAAGAGGCAAAUUUAACAAUGAUGCUUCAAAUGGUUGCAAUGAAAAUGAAGAGUUAUUGCGAGUAAAGGACUAACACCAUACUUGGUGCUUUAUAUGUUCUAAGUGGUCAUUAUUAUCACCAGGUACUGUAGAAUUCCUUAACACUCAGCAUAUUUACUCAAAUUAUUUUUCUUUUUCGCUCUUUACUGCCUCAGAUAUAAGAAGUUAUCUUUAAGUAAGGUGCUAUGGAAGUGGAGUUCGAGGACAAGAAUGAACAGUGGCAGUAAAGGAGCAAACUAAAACCCACCAAAACCAAGAUGGCGGCGAGAGUGACCUUUGGUCGUCCUCCAUGCUACACUCCCACCAGAACCAUGACAGUUUACAAAUGAAAUGGCAACAUCAGGAACUUACCGUAUAUGGUCUAAAAAGUACAUGAGAGACUGUACUUGCAGUUAAGCAGGGCCAUGUGACUAGUUCUGAGCAAUGGAAUACAGUACAGAGUAAUAAAGUAUGAAGCCUUUAUGUACUUUCUUCUCUUGAAAGAAGACCACAUAUCUCAGGGAGUACAAGCCUGGUUGGUGGAGCCACCAUAACCCUAGGAUCCUGAGUGUCCAAAUGAACCAGCCUAAAGCUGACAAAAAAUGAACACAUUUCACUGGAGAAGAAAAAAUAAGCUUCAGUUGUGUUAAGACUUCAAGACUUCAGAGUGAUUUUUAAAAUUGUGCCAUAGCACAAUUUACCCUGCUUAAUAAAAAAAGAUGCUGAGAGGCAAGGAGAUUGCUUUGUUUCUGGAGCUUGGGGAAAGAAAUUAAAAGUGGGGAAGCAGCUAGCUAGUGGUAAAUUUUUCUGUCUUCCUUCUGUCCUCCUGCUUUUCUUUAAUUCUUGUUCUACACGCGAAAAAUGCACCCAUUCUGUCAAUUUUCAAUUCUAUAUUCACACAUAUGCCAACUUUAUAAAAUGAAAAUAACUGGUGAAAUAUAUAAAGUACACAGCUUAGUCUUGCACACAAUUUAAGUUGAAAAUUUAUGUAUUUAAAUGCAUUCAUGGAGAGAGGCAUUAGCAUGAAAAGCAGAUGAGAAGGUGGUUUUCAGUUCUAGUUGGUUUUCAAUUCUCCUCGUGAACUUUUCUAAACAUCUUUUUGCUAGCACAUACCUACCUCCUUAUUCCAAAGAUUUCCAGAAUCCUGGGGGUGUUUUCUACCCUGUUAAAAUCUAUAUCCAGAGAACACAGAAUUAAAGUCAUUCACACAUUUUCUGUGUGGCAGGUGCUGUGGCUGUAUCUACACUCAAGGGAGCUCUCAGGUUCGUGGGAAAGCUAACAUACAAAUAAAUCCUUCAUGUGAAGAGUGUUGCAGCAGACAUCAGCACAAGGGCAGGGACUGGGAGAAGCAAGAAUGUAGGUGGUGGUGGUCUUGGGAUGUCAAGAAAAGAUUUACUGAAGACAUGGCAACUUGCUCUUUAGGAAAUUACUCUAGUGACAUAAUAGUAGUUGUCUAUAAUGGAGACGGUUGGGACUGGAGGCAGACAACAACAUUAAGCAGGAGGCAAUGUAGUAAUAACCAACAGUUAGCAAGAAGGAUGAAGAAGAAGGGACUUGUGGCAGAGGUAUUAAGAGGCAGACAGUAAUUUGGAUUUGAUGAGAAAAUAAGAGGGAGGAGUCUAAGAAUAUUGUACACUGGGUUCAGGGAUUUUUUUCCUACAGUGGGCAGCUAGUAUUUUAGACUUUGUGGGCCAUGUAUAGUCUGGUGUUUUUUGGUAAUCUUUCUUCUGUUUUUUUGUUGUAAUCUUUCAAAAAUGCAAAAGCCAUUCUUAGUUUGAGGCAUGGUUAUGGUCCUUACGCCCUAGUUUGCCAACUCAUGUUCUAGAUUAAGACAUCCCAAGGGGGAUAUCUUUAGUCAGAUAAGAGAAGGAGAGAAGGUUCAGGCAGGCUGUAAAGAAAACUGAAAAGCAUUGCCCAAUUCUUCUAACUUGUUCAGUUUUAUCACAAAUAGAAAUGCUCUCUCUCGAUAAAGCUGAAAUUUUGAUACAAUGGUCAAAUUGCCCUUUAUUGUACAAUCUGAUUUUACAACAUAUUCUUUGUUUUAGGAAAUAAACCUUUGACUCAUGAUCUUGUAGUGUUUUUAUUCUAAGUCCUACAUGCCCAGUACAUGCUUUUGUUUUGCAUUUGUCAGUCUUUGGCUACAAAGUCCUAAAUGUUUGGUAUUAAGAAUAUAAGUUUCUAUUACAAAGCCAUAACUCAUUAUAUAUUUUUAAUGGUGGUUGCUUUUUGGUUUGAU
rnacentral:lncRNA from 1 species